CAUCACCACCAGUGCUAGAGUUGCAGAAAAGCAAAUUUACCAAUUCUUGGACUAACAUCCCCUUACCAGGGAACAAAUGUUUUAAAGAAAAAAAAUAUAGUAAUCAAUAAAAAAGCAAAUACCAGAACAUCUUCUCAACUGCUGAUAUGUUUUUGAUAGCCUUUGAAGCCAAAAAUAAAAUUUUCAGUAGCAGGGAAUUACCAAAAAAG
rnacentral:misc_RNA from 1 species